rnacentral:sRNA from 16 species
CGCUGUGCUUAACCGGCCAUUAACCUUUCCGGUCCACGAAUAGGGAUAUCCAGAUUGUCUGGAUCCUGAGUGGGAACUCUUGUCCACUCUGUUUGAUGCCUCCCUGUAGACUCGUGACAAGCCGCUCUCUGGAGCGGCUUCUUUUUU